CCUACGGGGGGCUGCAGUGAGGAAUAUUGGUCAAUGGGCGCAAGCCUGAACCAGCCAUGCCGCGUGCAGGACGACGGCCCUACGGGUUGUAAACUGCUUUUCCGGGGGAAGAAUAAGGCCCAUGCGUGGGCCGAUGCCGGUACCCCGGGAAUAAGGAUCGGCUAACUCCGUGCCAGCAGCCGCGGUAAUACGGAGGAUCCUAGCGUUAUCCGGAUUUACUGGGUUUAAAGGGUGCGUAGGCGGGCCCCUCAGUCAGCGGUGAAAGUCUGCGGCUCAACCGUAGGAUUGCCGUUGAUACUGGGGGUCUUGAAUUCGGUCAAGGUGGGCGGAAUGCGUGGUGUAGCGGUGAAAUGCUUAGAUAUCACGCAGAACGCCGAUAGCGAAGGCAGCUCACCGGGCCGAUAUUGACGCUGAGGCACGAAAGCGUGGGGAUCAAACAGGAUUAGAUACCCGAGUAGUC
rnacentral:rRNA from 1 species